GAUAGGCAAAGUCAGCACUGCCAUGUUAAAUGUGCCUCCAUGUGCUUUUUUUCAACCUUUCUUAUGAAUCUCGCAGACAUGUUUAUCUACUGCUUUUUUGCAUAGGACCAAGGGGUAAAGUUAUA